rnacentral:rRNA from 1 species
UGGGCUAGAAUGCUGGGAGACCGUGGGUGAAAGCUCACUUUGUAGCAAUACACUGCCAGUAAGGUGCUGCAUGGCUGUCGUCAGCUCGUGCCGUGAGGUGUUGGGUUAAGUCCCGCAACGAGCGCAACCCCCAUCACUAGUUGCCAUCAGGUAACGCUGGGAACUCUAGUGAAACUGCCGUCGUAAGACGUGAGGAAGGAGGGGAUGAUGUCAAGUCAUCAUGGCCUUUAUGCCCAGGGCUACACACGUGCUACAAUGGGGAGGACAAAGGGCUGCAACAUAGCGAUAUGAAGCUAAUCCCAAAAACCUCCUCUCAGUUCAGAUUGGAGUCUGCAACUCGACUCCAUGAAGCUGGAAUCGCUAGUAAUCGUAUAUCAGCAAUGAUACGGUGAAUACGUUCCCGGACC